rnacentral:rRNA from 1 species
ACGCUCGACACCUACAGGAGGCAGCAGUGAGGAAUAUUGGUCAAUGGGCGCUAGCCUGAACCAGCCAAGUAGCGUGAAGGAUGAAGGCUCUAUGGGUCGUAAACUUCUUUUAUAUAAGAAUAAAGUGCAGUAUGUAUACUGUUUUGUAUGUAUUAUAUGAAUAAGGAUCGGCUAACUCCGUGCCUGCAGCCGCGGUAAUCUGAGCGGGCUGGCAAGGC